CCUCUGACAGGUAGGUUUCUUCUGUAGUGCUUUAUUAUAAGCAGUAAAAAAAGGAGAAGAAAUUCAGCUGAAAUUAAUAGCGUAGCCCCGGCGAGACUCUUGUUACUUUUCAUAAAGCCAGAGUUUUAGUGUGGGGUCAUUCACCUAUGGUGGCUUUGAAAAAUAGCAGCAAUAAUACAACCAAAAAAAAAAAAAAAAACGAGAUAAAAUAGUGGAGAAAGGGAGGGAGAGAUGGGAGGAGUAUAGUACUGUACGGAGUGUGAAGCUGGGAGAGAUGGGGAGAGUGAAACACACACACACACACGCACACGCACAAACACACAGAGAGGGUGCAGAUAGCGGGAGGGGAAAACCUCCUCUCUGAAAGGGAUGAUGUCAGUCUCUGCAGCUGAGCCCCAGUUCCCGACUCUCUCUGCCUCCUGAAAACACACUGGCAGGCUGAGCCACAAAGAGGGGAGGAAAGGGAAACUUCGAGGGGGAGAGCCCCGGCGACAGAAACCCCCGCAGCUCCUGACCAGACGGCCAACGGGGGGGGGGAUUUUCACCAGCGCACAAAGAAGAAGCAGGGGGACGAGGUUCAGGUCUCAUGAUAAUUCAGGAAUAGGAAGAUGUGAGACUCUCCUCCUCCAUGUUUGCAGUCUUUGAGUUCUACAUGCAAGCCAUGGUGUAAUAUGGCUUUUUAUUCCUAUGUGAGGAUGAAAAAUAUUCAUGUAGGAAUAGAAGCUGUUUUACAUGUGGUGAGAGAGCAGCGCGACACAAGCAAGAGCCGCUGGCCGCUCACGGAGACAGAUGCACGACUGGAUAAAUGUAUCUGUCUUCUAUUAAACGCUUCCCUGUAGUAAAAGAAAAAAAAAAAAAACGGUAAAUUUUUGCUCAAUUUUCAAAUGACGAGUUAACUCAUUGAUGUGCUCAUCUGAGAGAGGGAGAAAGAAAAAAAAAAAUCAAGUCAGACUUUGUUUUGUGUGCACCUGUUUUUUGCCUCCAGGCACAAGCAGCUUCCACUGCUUCGGCUGUUUGAUGCAUUUGGUGACAGAUGCCGUCCGCGGGGAAGCAGGAAACAUUUGCAAAACAUUUCAAGAACAAAGGAGGAGAAGAGCGAUAAGAGACCAAUACAGAUCUUUAAUAACAAACUGUAAAACAGGCACUUAGUGAACCACUUUACAACCUGCAAGAGACGCGCAGUUUCCCUUUCUUUUCAAUGUCAUUCAUUUUGCACAUUAUUAAAAUAAAACUUUGUCAUGAAGCAUUACAUCAAACAAUAUUCUACCUACAAUACUAUACAAUGAAGGUACAUACAGUAUAAACAAGAUAAAGCACCUUUGUUGUCCAAGUAAAUACUAUUAAUAAUUAAACAUUUGGAGUUACAGACACAGAUAAAUGAGUUUGUCAUUUGUGUGUGGUAUUAUCAGUGCAUGGAAAGAACUCCAAAUACAGGUCCAGGGACUGUGAUGUCCUCAUCAGCACCUGAGUUUACGUAUACACCAGAAGCUGUUGUAAGUUUUGUGUUUUUUCUGCCUACAUAUGAAUGAUUUGGUUUAUACAGUAUGUUCAAUAAAGUAGAAAAAAAACUA